GAUGAACGCUGGCGGCGUGCCUAAUACAUGCGAGUCGAGCGAACAGACGAGGAGCUUGCUCCUCUGACGUUAGCGGCGGACGGGUGAGUAACACGUGGAUAACCUACCUAUAAGACUGGGAUAACUUCGGGAAACCGGAGCUAAUACCGGAUAAUAUAUUGAACCGCAUGGUUCAAUAGUGAAAGACGGUUUUGCUGUCACUUAUAGAUGGAUCCGCGCCGCAUUAGCUAGUUGGUAAGGUAACGGCUUACCAAGGCAACGAUGCGUAGCCGACCUGAGAGCGUGAUCGGCCACACUGGAACUGAGACACUGUCCAGACUCCUACGGGAGGCAGCAGUAGGGAAUCUUCCGCAAUGGGCGAAAGCCUGACGGAGCAACGCCGCGUGAGUGAUGAAGGUCUUCGGAUCGUAAAACUCUGUUAUUAGGGAAGGACAAAUGUGUAAGUAACUAUGCACGUCUUGACGGUACCUAAUCAGAAAGCCACGGCUAACUACGUG
rnacentral:rRNA from 1 species